ACAUGUAAAAACCAAUUAGAGCAAAAUUUCAUAAAUCAAACCUCAACAAUGUUUACGCUCCAUGAUUGAUGAAAAGGAAAUUAGCCAUCCAUUGAGAUGAUAGAACUCAUGGAAUAAGAAAUUACAAGAGAAAGAAAGAACAAGAAAACCUAAAGAUGAAAUAAGUAAAAUUGAGAAAGCUCUCAAACUCCUUUUUUUUCUCUUGCUAUGCCUUGCUUCUCUAUUUAUACAAUAUAUAGACAGCCCCUUGUGAUGUUGUCCAGCAAAAUUCCAUUCCUUAACCGGUAAGUUUCAAGUGCAAGUUGUGAGAAAGUAAAAAACAAUUUGCUUCAGCUCUAACCGUCAUUGUAUGAAUGAAUCAGAAUUAAAUGAAGUCAAUUUAAUUUGGCGAAAAAUGGACCCCACCCGCUUGCGAACCAAAUUAGACAACAAAAUGAAGUGAAUUAGGGUUGCUAGACUAUCCAAAGAUUGGAAGUAAAAUACCUAAAAUAACUCAAUCUGCAAAACCAAGAUACAAUAUGAAUAAAAACUUUGAAUCAAUGACUGAAUUUUCCCCAUAUGCAUUGGUGUAGGUUGACAAAUCAUCAAACAACCUUUGAUAAUACUACAACAUAUAUUUUUACAUGCUAGAUUCAGUUUUCCUCAUGCUGCUACUCUCAAUUAAAAUUUUAAGCCAUUUACAAAAAUACAAUAUCAAUGUAUGUCCAUGAUCAUAAACUAGGAAGCAUGUCUCAAACGGUAAAACAUCUCUCUGAAUUUAUUCAAUGUACACGAUACUUUUAUACAAACCCUACACAAUAUUUGAUUCCAAGUUGUCGAAUGACGGUUCACAAUAUGGCGGUGGACUAUAACCAAAUCGAUAGACAAAGCUCUUGCACUUGAAUUUCUCAGUUGUAGUGAUUAUUUUGAAGCAUGAGUCAGGCAUGAUGCUAACAAAACAUCCCAAACUGAGGAGUUUGUGUUGAGCUUCAAAAAAUAUCCAAAUCAAUGGAGCUAUUUAGCACACCAUCAU
rnacentral:lncRNA from 1 species